CACAACUUGGGUGUCGCUCGACA
rnacentral:siRNA from 1 species